UUGCAGCAAUAUCUUCAUUUAAACAACAAGUGGAAGGUUUAUCAGACCUAGACCACUAGGUUGAGUUAUUGAUUCGUUUGCUGUGUGCUGUCCCUGGCUGGAGUGAGAAAAAUGUCCAGGUUCAGCAGCAGGUUAUUGAAGUUGUUACUUUCAUAGCCUCUUCGUCAACCAAAUUUCCUAAGAAGUGUGUAGUGCUUUGCCUUCUGGGUAUAAGUGAGCGUGUCGCUGACAUUAAGACUCGUGCUCAUGCCAUGAAGUGCCUUACUACUUUUUGUGAAGCUGUAGGUCCUGGAUUUAUUUUUGAAAGAGUAAGUCUUACAUUUAAAUCAUUUCUGUAGAGAAGUUUGUUUGCACUUCUCUUGUGAACUUCUGAAGCAGGGAUGAAACAUAUUAGGUUCUAAAUUGAUUGGAACUUGUAUUUCUUUUCUUUGAUUGCUUUUUUCAUUUUUUAUAAUCCAAUAAAAGUCAAGGAAUUAUGUGGUUAAUAUUGUUAAUGAUCUGAUAUAGCUAUGAGAUCUG